AAGUCUAGCCUGCCCAAUGAGUAGUUGAAUGGCCGCAGUAUUUUGACUGUGCAAAGGUAGCAUAAUCAUUAGUUUCUUAAUUAGAAACUGGUAUGAAAGGUUGGACGAGAAAAUGACUGUCUCUUUAUAAAUUUUUUAGAAUUUUAUUUUUAAGUUAAAAAGCUUAAAUUUAUUUAAAAGACGAGAAGACCCUAUAGAGUUUUAUAUAUAUUUUUUUAUAAAAUUUAAUUAUUUAAAUAAAGUAGUAUAAAAAUGUAUAUUUAAUUGGGGUGAUUAAAAAAUUUAAAAAACUUUUUUUUUUAUUAACAUUAAUUUAUGAUUUUUUGAUCCAUUAUUUAUGAUUAUAAGAUUAAAUUACCUUAGGGAUAACAGCGUAAUUUCUUUUAAGAGUUCAAAUCGAUAAAGAAGAUUGCGACCUCGAUGUUGGAUUAAAAUUUAUUUUUGGUGUAGAAGCUAAAAAAAUUAGGUCUGUUCGACCUUUAAAAUUUUACAUGAUCUGAGUUUAAACCGGUGUAAGCCAGGUUGGUUUCUAUCUUUAAGUAAUUUAAAUAUUUUAGUACGAAAGGACCAAAUAUUUGUAAAAUUUAU
rnacentral:rRNA from 1 species